CGGGGUGUAGCUCAGUUUGGUAGAGUGCCUGGAUGGGGGCCAGGAGGCCAGCGGUUCAAGUCCGCGCACCCCGACCA
rnacentral:tRNA from 1 species